GACGAACGCUGGCGGCGUGCUUAACACAUGCAAGUCGAGCGGUAAGGCUCCUUCGGGAGUACGCGAGCGGCGAACGGGUGAGUAACACGUGAGCAAUCUGCCCUUCACAUCGGAAUAACUUCGGGAAACCGAAGCUAAUACCGGAUACGACCAUCGGUGGCAUCAUCUGAUGGUGGAGAGUUCCGGCGGUGGAGGAUGAGCUCGCGGCCUAUCAGCUGUUGGUGGGGUAAUGGCCCACCAAGGCGACGACGGGUAGCCGGCCUGAGAGGGUGACCGGCCACACUGGGACUGAGACACGGCCCAGACUCCUACGGGAGGCAGCAGUGGGGAAUAUUGGACAAUGGGCGAAAGCCUGAUCCAGCAACGCCGCGUGAGGGAUGACGG
rnacentral:rRNA from 1 species